AAUGAGUAGUCAUAAUAUGAGAAGCCCAAGCCACAUGGGGAGACCACAUGGAGAACUAACUUGCCUCUGUCAAUCCCAUAUGAUCUCCCUGCCAAGUGCCAGCAUCAAAUGCCAACCAUGUGAGUGAGCCAAGUCGGACAUUCCAGGCCAAUUUUAGAUUGGCCCAAUAGCCUGACAUUUACAGCCAUUCAACAAUGGCCCAGCAAGUAUCACGUAGAGAGAAAAAAACUGAGCCCAAUCAUUUCAUGGAAAAAUAAGAGAUAAUCAGAUAGCUGUUUUAGGUGUUUAAAUUUUGAUAUGGCUUAUAAUGCAGCAAUAUAAAAGAAAAAAGGUCAAUAUCUGUAAAGGUUUCUUAAGUUACAAUCCCUGCUCAUUAGUCCAUCAGUAAAGCCCUCAGGUAAAAUUCACAUCUUUGUGUCUGGACCCCAUUCUUUUAUCCGAGGAGUACUGUUCUGCUUCCUACUGUAUUAAUCCACAGCCUAGUUUGGCCUGCACUUUCUAGACCCAGAAUCAGCGUGAAAAUUAUAAAAAGUCCUCAGUCUCUUAGAGCUGGACAAAGUUCAGAGUUUAAAGGACAACUACAUUUAUAUUAUUGUAUUCAUAGCUAUCUUUAUCUCUUUUGUUACCUGGACAGAUUCAUGCAGAACUUAUUCAAGAAAAGCAAACCCUUCUCCAUAUGCAUUUUGGAAAAUCACUUGCAGCCAUUGCUUAGAAUUUUUAAUUUAUUUUGAGCUCGGGUUUCUCUCUGAUUGAAAGUUUAUAUAACAAACUCGACUUCUGAGAUUAAGAGAUGAGAUUCUAAGGCAAGAAUCAUUUAGAAGAUACUCCUUUAUUCAAGAAAAACAACUGAUUGUUACUUUUUAUAUAAUACUAUAAUCACUCUCCCUUUCCCUCUCUUCACCACUUUAUAUUCAGAAAGUUUGCUUAUAACUAUGUUAUAUCCAUUUUGGGGAGGUCUAUACUAGCAGAGAGAGUUUUCCCAAAAUUUUUGACUGAGUAAAUUCAUUAAUAUCAAGUACUUACAGAUUAUAUGAUUUCACUUUUUUCAUCUUUAGUUUUUCUGACCUAUAUGAGGCCAAUAAAGAGCCUAGAACUCAGAACUGAAUUUGGAGAAAAGACGUUAGGUAUGAUGGUCUGAAAGACAUCAGCAGUAGCUGACGUGGGAUUUACCAUUUUUAGUAUUCAAUAUAUAUUUUAAUGUAAUGUGCCAUCUGUAGUGCACCAUAGAAAUGCAAAUCUCAAAUCAUAUUUUUCCAGUAAGUUUGCUUUUUUUCAUUGCAUGGACAGAGAAAACUUUUAAGAAAUUUACCAUAGCUAAGUUAGAUUAGAAUGAGUAAGUGUUGGACACUUACAAUUAGUCUGUUGGACAGACUAAUUUUUCAACAGGCAUAUGAUACUCUACUGUCUUAUACAGUGCCCAUCUUUUCUCUAGGCCAAACAUAAUUUUGGACUCCCAUUGAUUAAGAUCCUCUGAUUCAAUUUAAGGCAAAUUUAUUGAUUGGCAUAGUCAACAAGUUUUCAUAUGAACAAAAUGUAUACAGCAAAUAAUAGGGGACCCCAAACUGGCAUAAAGCAUUUCAAAUGUUAUUGAAUUUUGAUUUAAAUAUAAAAUUAAAUAAAGAAAUUUAAGAUUUUUUCUAUCUUGCUGCUCAUGGUUAUUUUAUAAUAUUUACACUGAAAUUUAUCCAAAUUUAGCCUUUAGAAUAUACAAUGCUCUAAUAUUGAUGUUAUUAGCUACUCAUAGGAAGUGUUAAAUAUAUUGUAUUCUAACAAAUAAUAAAGGCAAAAAAUCAAUACCUGCUUCAGGAAGCAUUUUGUUUUUAACAUGAUAUGUUUGAAAAUAAAUAGCAUAGAGGGCAUCUGACUGUAUGUUAGCCCGAGGGGUAAUUUGCUUUAACUUGCUGAGCCUGUUAUCAUUUGCUAACAACUCCCAGUUUCUAUUUCAUAGGAUUGUUUUAAGUCCUCAUUGGGCAUUUUAAGUUCUGUUUGAAAGAGCUGCAUCACAAUUCUUAUAAAGGACUUGUUGAAUCAUAAGCUGUUUCCUUAAGCACCAGUUAUGUGGGGGACCUUGUGCCAGGCACUGGGCCACAUAAAUGAGAAUCACAAGGACCAGGAUUAAGAAAAGACAGGUAAGUCCUCUUCUAGAACGUAGCAGUAAGGAAGCACCAACAAAAUAAAAUCGUACUCAAUAUAAUUAAUGGUUAAAUGCAGUAUUUUUACAAAAUAUAAACGUAAAUGUAAAAUAUUACAUAAAUAGAAGGUGAGUAUGACUGAUUUACUCUUUUUGUGUCAGGCUCCAGUGUGACUCAGCACAGUGUUCACAGCCCAUGCUCUCAAGAAUCUCAGCUUAGGAGGAGGCAAAGAGCCGCUCUACAGUAAGGUAAAUAAGUCAUUUAGUCAGGAACUCUGCACAUUUACCUCUGCAUUUAUCAAAUAUUUGUUGAAGGAAAUAAUAAAAGAAGUGAGGAGGAAGAAGAGGUUUCCUGGGAGAAAGCACUCGAGGAGCAAUAGGUGUCCUCUUUCAUUUCCACUAAAUAUGCUGCUCAAUGCCUUGUGGCAUAACAGAAUCAAAACUUUUCAGAUGCCCUGCCGCUUUAACAAGACCCAGGAUAUGUCAAAAUGGCUCCCACAGAACUUUCAUUUGAUCUUAUCUUUCGCUGUCACACACAUCGACCUGCAUUUUCUUUUUUCUUUUUGAUUCUUUAUGUCUGCAAAUGAACUGAUGUAAUUAAAAAGGUGAAGAAAUAA
rnacentral:lncRNA from 1 species